ACAGACAUUCUAGAAUUACCUAGGAGACAAGCCUCUGGGCACACCUCUGAAGCUAAUGGGUAGCCUUGAACUCACAGAGAUCCAACUGCCACUGCCUCCCGAGUGUCUCCUGGUGAUGACUACAUUUUUAGCAAGGAGUGUCAAUAUAAGGAAACAAGCCUGGUAAUGUGACAUGUUCACAAUGACGGGAGCAAUGAGUGGAAUAUGCUCUUCUACCAAAGCCACACACCAAGUGUAGUGGAUUUUCUCUCCCUGAUGAGAGCUCACCAUUCCUAUUCCUUCCCUCUGGGUAAACAUGCUGAUUUAUGAGAAAGUGUUCCACUUGAUAUCAGAAACAUUACUUCUCUGCCUGCUCCAUAUUAAUAAAUAUGUUGGUUAUGCUAAAGGGGAACACAUUGAUCCAAAUGAGAAGGCAACUCACCUUUGAGAUUUCUCCUUCAUGGCCUUCCAGUUUGGUUAUGCAUUUUCUUGUGGUUGCAUUGUAAACUCUUGCUGUCCCUUUUGGAGAGGGAUUGGAAUAUACAUUAAUCCAUCUGAAAUGCAAGACGUCAUGUUACCUAAAAAUCCAUCCUCUGACAAAUGA